GGCCGCAUCGUCUAACGGCAGGACGCAGGGCUCUCAAUCCUGUAAUAUGGGUUCAAAUCCCAUUGCGGUUACCA
rnacentral:tRNA from 1 species